rnacentral:rRNA from 1 species
CUACGGGCGGCACCAGUGGGGAAUAUUGCGCAAUGGGCGAAAGCCUGACGCAGCAACGCCGCGUGAGUGAUGAAGGCCUUCGGGUCGUAAAGCUCUGUCGGGAGGGAAGAACACCUUCGGGUCUGACGGUACCUCCCGAGGAAGCACAGGCUAACUCCGUGCCAGCAGCGGCGGUAAUACGGAGUGUGCAAGCGUUGUUCGGAAUUACUGGGCGUAAAGCGCGCGUAGGCGGCUUGAUAAGUCAGAUGUGAAAUCCCUCGGCUUAACCGAGGAACUGCAUUUGAAACUGUCAGGCUUGAGUACGGGAGGGGGAAGCGGAAUUCCCAGUGUAGAGGUGAAAUUCGUAGAUAUUGGGAGGAACACCAGCGGCGAAGGCGGCUUCCUGGACCGAUACUGACGCUGAGGCGCGAAAGCGUGGGGAGCAAACAGGAUUAGAUACCCCCGUAGUC